GACGUAGGAGGCGAGCGUUGUCCGGAUUUAUUGGGCGUAAAGAGCUCGUAGGCGGUUCGGUAAGUCAGGUGUGAAAUCUCCACGCUCAACGUGGAGGCGCCACCUGAAACUGCCGUGACUCGAGUCCGGUAGGGGAGUGUGGAAUUCCUGGUGUAGCGGUGAAAUGCGCAGAUAUCAGGAGGAACACCGGUGGCGAAGGCGGGUCUCUGGGCAGUAACUGACGCUGAGGAGCGAAAGCGUGGGGAGCGAACAGG
rnacentral:rRNA from 1 species